rnacentral:misc_RNA from 1 species
GAAAUGAGGUCCGUACGUGAUCCGAGGUCACCUGGUAAAAAGAAGGUUGGAGACGCCGGCUGGCGCCCGGCCGGCCCUAAUCGAGCGGGUGACAAAGCCCCAUACGCUCGAGGACCGGACGCGGUGCCGCCGCUGCCUUUCGGGCCCGUCCCCCGGGGGGGACGACGACCCAACACACAAGCCGGGCUUGAAGGGAAGAAAUGACGCUCGGACAGGCAUGCCCCCCGGAAUGCCAGGGGGCGGAAUGUGCGUUCCAAUACAUCGAAGAUUCACUCAAUUGUGCAUUUCAGGUGACUUAUCUGUCUUAGCUUCUUUUUUGCCCUUCAGGCCAGGCUUGAGAGAUAGUGUGUAGAUUUUUUAGAGUAUUGUUUAACGAAAGACACAAAAUUAAAAAUGGAGGGCUGGUUGGGAUAUGAGGGUUUAACCUGGGGGGUCCAGCCCGAACGGACACGGUGGUAAGUAUCCACCUGGGAGUUGGAAGGUUGACCGGAGAAUGAAAGGAAAAUCGUUGAGAAGUAGCCGAUCGAUAGACGGAGGAAUGCAGGCCUGCCCCCGGGCUGGCCUUUCUCCUCUUUCAUUUCUUUUCCUCUUUUCUUCUCCGUGUCCCCCCUCUGUUUUUUUCCUUUU